rnacentral:rRNA from 1 species
CCCGACCGCUAUCGGGGUGGGGCUAAGCCAUGCGAGUCGUACGCCUGGGGACCGCCAGGCGUGGCACACGGCUCAGUAACACGUGCCUAACCUACCCUCGGGUGGGGGACAACCCCGGGAAACUGGGGCCAAUCCUCCAUAGGAGAAGGGUGCUGGAAAGCCCCUUCUCCGAAAGGGACUGCGGCCGAUCCGCCGCAGUCCGCCCGAGGAUGGGGGCACGGCCCAUCAUGGUAGUUGGCGGGGUAAUGGCCCGCCAAGCCGAAGACGGGUGGGGGCCGUGAGAGCGGGAGCCCCGAGAUGGGCACUGAGACAAGGGCCCAGGCCCUACGGGGUGCAGCAGGCGCGAAAACUCCGCAAUGCGGGAAACCGUGACGGGGCCACCCCGAGUGCCGCCCGAAGAGGGCGGCUUUUGCCCGGUGCAAAAAGCCGGGCGAAUAAGCGGGGGGCAAGUCUGGUGUCAGCCGCCGCGGUAAUACCAGCUCCGCGAGUGGUCGGGGUGCUUACUGGGCCUAAAGCGCCCGUAGCCGGCCCGGUAAGUCGUCCCUGAAAUCCACGGGCUCAACCCGUGGGCUGGGGACGAUACUGCCGGGCUUGGGGGCGGGAGAGGCCGAGGGUACUCCCGGGGUAGGGGCGAAAUCCGAUAAUCCCGGGAGGACCACCAGUGGCGAAGGCGCUCGGCUGGAACGCGCCCGACGGUGAGGGGCGAAAGCUGGGGGAGCAAAGGGGAUUAGAUACCCCUGUAGUCCCAGCUGUAAACGAUGUGGGCUAGCUGU